rnacentral:rRNA from 1 species
UACGAAGGGGGCUAGCGUUGUUCGGAAUUACUGGGCGUAAAGCGCGCGCAGGCGGCUAUCCAAGUCAGUGGUGAAAGCCCGGAGCUUAACUCCGGAACUGCCAUUGAAACUGUUUAGCUUGAGGACGAGAGAGGUGAGUGGAAUUCCCAGUGUAGAGGUGAAAUUCGUAGAUAUUGGGAAGAACACCGGUGGCGAAGGCGGCUCACUGGCCCGAUACGUGACGCUGAGGCACGAAAGCGUGGGGAGCAAACAGG